rnacentral:rRNA from 1 species
CAGAGGGAGCCUGAGAAACGGCUACCACGUCUACGGGCGGCAGCAGGCGCGUAAAUUACCCAAUCCUGACACAGGGAGGUAGUGACAAUAAUAACAAUGCUCGCCCCGACAAGGGGUGAGCAAUUGGAAUGAGUACGACUCAAAACCGCUAACGAGUAGCAAUUAGAGGGCAAGUCUGGUGCCAGCAGCCGCGGUAAUUCCAGCUCUAAUAGCGUAUUUUAAAGUUGUUGCAGUUAAAACGCUCGUAGUUGGACUUUAGAACUGGGCGUGGUUGGUCCGCGUUAAGUGAGUACUGCCACGUCGGUUCUUCCUUAUGAGAUACUUCCCUGUUUGUCCUCCGCUGGGCGAGCAGGAGCAGGCGCAGUGCGGUGUUGGCGUCUUUACCGGCGUCGGUGUGGCGUUGCGCCCGGGUUCUCAUUCGUUUACUUUGAAUAAAUUAGAGUGUUCAAAGCAGGCUAUUUAACGCCUUGAAUAAUCUAGCAUGGGAUAAUGGAAUAGGCUGUCGGCUUAUUUCGUUGGUUUCUAAGCCAGACAGAAUGAUUAAGAGGGACAGUUGGGGGUUUUCGUAUUCAAUUGUCAGAGGUGAAAUUCUUGGAUUUGUUGAAGACGAACUACUGCGAAAGCAUCAACCAAGGAUGUUUUCAUCAAUCAAGAACGAAAGUUAGGGGAUCGAAGACGAUCAGAUACCGUCGUAGUCUUAACCAUAAACGAUGCCGACCAGCCAUUCGGAGACGUUACAUUUUAUGACUCCCCGAGCAGCUUGAGAGAAAUCAGAGUGUUUGGGUUCUGGGGGGAGUAUGAUCGCAAGGGGGAAACUUAAAGGAAUUGACGGAAGGGCACCACAAGGAGUGGAGCCUGCGGCUUAAUUUGACCCAACACGGGGAAGCUUACCAGGUCCAGACAAAGUAAGGAUUGACAGAUUGAGCGCUCUUUCUUGAUUCUUUGGGUGGUGGUGCAUGGCCGUUCUUAGUUGGUGGAGUGAUUUGUCUGGUUAAUUCCGAUAACGAACGAGACCUUAACCUGCUAAAUAGUCACUGGAAACUGCUGCAAAAGCAUUGUCGGCGUGGAGCGGUGAAGGUUCGCUGGAUCUCGAAGCGUCGGCAGUGUGGUUGUUUCCGAGGAUGCACUUCUUAGAGGGACUUUCAGCUCUGAAGCUGAAGGAAGUUUGAGGCAAUAACAGGUCUGUGAUGCCCUUAGAUGUUCUGGGCCGCACGCGCGCUACAAUGAUUAGUUCAACAAGUAUAACACCUUGCUCGGAAGAGUUGGGUAACCUUGCGAAAACUAAUCGUGCUGAGGUUAGAUCAUUGUAAUUAUUGAUCUCUAAUCAGGAAUUCCUAGUAAGCGCGAGUUAUCAGCUCGCGUUGAUUACGUCCCCGCCCUUUGUACACACCGCCCGUCGCUACUACUGAUUGGAUGAUCCGGCCAGUUGUUCGGAGUCGGGGCAACGCUAU